CUAAAACUGCCCAAAGCUGAGAGGCUAGAUUUGUAUUGUCCUUUAUGCACCAGCAUAGUCUUUGAUGCCACCAAGACCAGUCUUCUCCUCCUCCCCAGCAGCAUAAGCUACUUGUAGCUCCCCCCACCCCCAUGCAUGGCCACUAUGCAUGGCUCGCUUGUUAGACCCAUGUUCCUGUGUCCCUGCCAACUCCAGCAUGUUUCCUCAUGAUAUGGCAAGUACUGGAGGAUGGCUUUUUCCGCUUCAUUUUUAUUCUUUUUGCCUCUGCUUAUUAGCUGUAGUAGAGCUCUAGAUUUUUAUUUAUCUCACCCUUGAAUCUCAUGCAGGUACUUAAUUGAGUCAUUGUAUGGGGUAACAUCUGUCAAAAUACAUUGUACUUUAAAAUGGAUUUGUUGAAUGGUAAUUCCUAACUACUCAAACAUAAU